rnacentral:rRNA from 1 species
AUUGAACGCUGGCGGCAUGCCUUACACAUGCAAGUCGAACGGCAGCGCGGGAGCAAUCCUGGCGGCGAGUGGCGAACGGGUGAGUAAUACAUCGGAACGUGCCCAAUCGUGGGGGAUAACGCAGCGAAAGCUGUGCUAAUACCGCAUACGAUCUACGGAUGAAAGCAGGGGAUCGCAAGACCUUGCGCGAAUGGAGCGGCCGAUGGCAGAUUAGGUAGUUGGUGAGGUAAAGGCUCACCAAGCCUUCGAUCUGUAGCUGGUCUGAGAGGACGACCAGCCACACUGGGACUGAGACACGGCCCAGACUCCUACGGGAGGCAGCAGUGGGGAAUUUUGGACAAUGGGCGAAAGCCUGAUCCAGCCAUGCCGCGUGCAGGAUGAAGGCCUUCGGGUUGUAAACUGCUUUUGUACGGAACGAAAAGUCUCUUUCUAAUAAAGAGGGAUCAUGACGGUACCGUAAGAAUAAGCACCGGCUAACUACGUGCCAGCAGCCGCGGUAAUACGUAGGGUGCAAGCGUUAAUCGGAAUUACUGGGCGUAAAGCGUGCGCAGGCGGUUAUGUAAGACAGUUGUGAAAUCCCCGGGCUCAACCUGGGAACUGCAUCUGUGACUGCAUAGCUAGAGUACGGUAGAGGGGGAUGGAAUUCCGCGUGUAGCAGUGAAAUGCGUAGAUAUGCGGAGGAACACCGAUGGCGAAGGCAAUCCCCUGGACCUGUACUGACGCUCAUGCACGAAAGCGUGGGGAGCAAACAGGAUUAGAUACCCUGGUAGUCCACGCCCUAAACGAUGUCAACUGGUUGUUGGGUCUUCACUGACUCAGUAACGAAGCUAACGCGUGAAGUUGACCGCCUGGGGAGUACGGCCGCAAGGUUGAAACUCAGAGGAAUUGACGGGGACCCGCACAAGCGGUGGAUGAUGUGGUUUAAUUCGAUGCAACGCGAAAAACCUUACCCACCUUUGACAUGUACGGAAUUUGCCAGAGAUGGCUUAGUGCUCGAAAGAGAGCCGUAACACAGGUGCUGCAUGGCUGUCGUCAGCUCGUGUCGUGAGAUGUUGGGUUAAGUCCCGCAACGAGCGCAACCCUUGUCAUUAGUUGCUACAUUCAGUUGGGCACUCUAAUGAGACUGCCGGUGACAAACCGGAGGAAGGUGGGGAUGACGUCAAGUCCUCAUGGCCCUUAUAGGUGGGGCUACACACGUCAUACAAUGGCUGGUACAAAGGGUUGCCAACCCGCGAGGGGGAGCUAAUCCCAUAAAACCAGUCGUAGUCCGGAUCGCAGUCUGCAACUCGACUGCGUGAAGUCGGAAUCGCUAGUAAUCGUGGAUCAGAAUGUCGCGGUGAAUACGUUCCCGGGUCU